UACGAAGGGGGCUAGCGUUGCUCGGAAUUACUGGGCGUAAAGGGAGCGUAGGUGGACUGUUUAGUCAGAGGUGAAAGCCCAGGGCUCAACCUUGGAAUUGCCUUUGAUACUGGCAGUCUUGAGUACGGAAGAGGUAUGUGGAACUCCGAGUGUAGAGGUGAAAUGCGCAGAUAUCAGGAAGAACACCCGUGGCGAAGGCGGCUCUCUGGGACGGUACUGACGCUGAGACGCGAAAGCGUGGGGAGCGAACAGG
rnacentral:rRNA from 1 species